AGCGAACGCUGGCGGCAGGCCUAACACAUGCAAGUCGAACGGCAGCACAGUAAGAGCUUGCUCUUACGGGUGGCGAGUGGCGGACGGGUGAGGAAUACAUCGGAAUCUACUCUUUCGUGGGGGAUAACGUAGGGAAACUUACGCUAUUACCGCAUACGACCUACGGGUGCAUGCAGGGGAUCUUCGGACUUUGCGCGAUUGAAUGAGCCGAUGUCGGAUUAGCUAGUUGGCGGGGUAAAGGCCCACCAAGGCGACGAUCCGUAGCUGGUCUGAGAGGAUGAUCAGCCACACUGGAACGGAGACACGGUCCAGACUCCUACGGGAGGCAGCAGUGGGGAAUAUUGGACAAUGGGCGCAAGCCUGAUCCAGCCAUACCGCGUGGGUGAAGAAGGCCUUCGGGUUGUAAAGCCCUUUUGUUGGGAAAGAAAAGCAGCAGGUUAAUACCCCGCUGUUCUGACGGUACCCAAAGAAUAAGCACCGGCUAACUUCGUG
rnacentral:rRNA from 1 species